rnacentral:pre_miRNA from 1 species
CCUGUUGCCACAAACCCGUAGAUCCGAACUUGUGGUGAUAGUGCACACAAGCUUGUGUCUAUCGGUCUGUGUCUGUGAGG